rnacentral:rRNA from 1 species
GUGUCAGCCGCCGCGGUAAUACGGGGGGGGCAAGCGUUGUUCGGAAUUACUGGGCGUAAAGGGCGCGUAGGCGGCCUGGGAAGUUCUGGGUGAAAGCCCCCGGCUCAACCGGGGAAGUGCCUGGAAAACCACUGGGCUGGAGUGCUGGAGAGGAAAGCAGAAUUCCUGGUGUAGCGGUGAAAUGCGUAGAGAUCAGGAGGAAUACCUGCGGCGAAGGCGGCUUUCUGGACAGACACUGACGCUGAGGCGCGAAAGCCAGGGGAGCAAACAGGAUUAGAUACCCCCGUAGUCC